UACGAAGGGGGCUAGCGUUGCUCGGAAUCACUGGGCGUAAAGCGCACGUAGGCGGCUUUCUAAGUCAGGGGUGAAAUCCCGGAGCUCAACUCCGGAACUGCCUUUGAUACUGGAAAGCUUGAGUUCGGGAGAGGUGAGUGGAACUGCGAGUGUAGAGGUGAAAUUCGUAGAUAUUCGCAAGAACACCAGUGGCGAAGGCGGCUCACUGGCCCGGUACUGACGCUGAGGUGCGAAAGCGUGGGGAGCAAACAGG
rnacentral:rRNA from 1 species